GGGUCAGCGACUUAUAUUCUGUAGCAAGGUUAACCGAAUAGGGGAGCCGAAGGGAAACCGAGUCUUAACUGGGCGUUAAGUUGCAGGGUAUAGACCCGAAACCCGGUGAUCUAGCCAUGGGCAGGUUGAAGGUUGGGUAACACUAACUGGAGGACCGAACCGACUAAUGUUGAAAAAUUAGCGGAUGACUUGUGGCUGGGGGUGAAAGGCCAAUCAAACCGGGAGAUAGCUGGUUCUCCCCGAAAGCUAUUUAGGUAGCGCCUCGUGAAUUCAUCUCCGGGGGUAGAGCACUGUUUCGGCAAGGGGGUCAUCCCGACUUACCAACCCGAUGCAAACUGCGAAUACCGGAGAAUGUUAUCACGGGAGACACACGGCGGGUGCUAACGUCCGUCGUGAAGAGGGAAACAACCCAGACCGCCAGCUAAGGUCCCAAAGUCAUGAUUAAGUGGGAAACGAUGUGGGAAGGCCCAGACAGCCAGGAUGUUGGCUUAGAAGCAGCCAUCAUUUAAAGAAAGCGUAAUAGCUCACUGGUCGAGUCGGCCUGCGCGGAAGAUGUAACGGGGCUAAACCAUGCACCGAAGCUGCGGCAGCGACACUAUGUGUUGUUGGGUAGGGGAGCGUUCUGUAAGCCUGUGAAGGUGUACUGUGAGGUAUGCUGGAGGUAUCAGAAGUGCGAAUGCUGACAUAAGUAACGAUAAAGCGGGUGAAAAGCCCGCUCGCCGGAAGACCAAGGGUUCCUGUCCAACGUUAAUCGGGGCAGGGUGAGUCGACCCCUAAGGCGAGGCCGAAAGGCGUAGUCGAUGGGAAACAGGUUAAUAUUCCUGUACUUGGUGUUACUGCGAAGGGGGGACGGAGAAGGCUAUGUUGGCCGGGCGACGGUUGUCCCGGUUUAAGCGUGUAGGCUGGUUUUCCAGGCAAAUCCGGAAAAUCAAGGCUGAGGCGUGAUGACGAGGCACUACGGUGCUGAAGCAACAAAUGCCCUGCUUCCAGGAAAAGCCUCUAAGCAUCAGGUAACAUCAAAUCGUACCCCAAACCGACACAGGUGGUCAGGUAGAGAAUACCAAGGCGCUUGAGAGAACUCGGGUGAAGGAACUAGGCAAAAUGGUGCCGUAACUUCGGGAGAAGGCACGCUGAUAUGUAGGUGAAGUCCCUCGCGGAUGGAGCUGAAAUCAGUCGAAGAUACCAGCUGGCUGCAACUGUUUAUUAAAAACACAGCACUGUGCAAACACGAAAGUGGACGUAUACGGUGUGACGCCUGCCCGGUGCCGGAAGGUUAAUUGAUGGGGUCAGCGCAAGCGAAGCUCUUGAUCGAAGCCCCGGUAAACGGCGGCCGUAACUAUAACGGUCCUAAGGUAGCGAAAUUCCUUGUCGGGUAAGUUCCGACCUGCACGAAUGGCGUAAUGAUGGCCAGGCUGUCUCCACCCGAGACUCAGUGAAAUUGAACUCGCUGUGAAGAUGCAGUGUACCCGCGGCAAGACGGAAAGACCCCGUGAACCUUUACUAUAGCUUGACACUGAACAUUGAGCCUUGAUGUGUAGGAUAGGUGGGAGGCUUUGAAGUGUGG
rnacentral:rRNA from 1 species